AAAAACACAAAAAAAAUAUUUUGUUUUCUUUAUAGUUUUAUUUUUUAGGGGAAAUUAAGCAUUUUGCAAACCACAUUAAAUUCGCGCAUUUGACUAAAGGUACUGCCUUCGGGCAGGCGUUGUAGGGUGCUAAUACCUUCCCUACACGUAACCGACUCCCGAACCCAAUCUUUGGAUUUCGUGGACCGUGCUUUAUCAUUUUAUGGUUUUUCCGUAGUUUUCCAGAAUAAACUAUGGUGGCGACUCCAAAACUUUUUUCAAACUCUUUUUCUUUUUUGGAUCGUCGUCCCGUCGCGAUUCCGGUUGCGACAGAUGGCGACUCCACUGGGGACUACUAGAGAGUCAGGCCAUUUAAUUAGAUGCGCGAAUUCAAUGUGGUUUUGCUUUGUGUUUCUCUUUCCCUUUUCUUUAUCUAUGCUUGAUAUUUGGAAUAACUGCAUGUGAAUUGUUGGAUAUUGAACCCUAGGGUAGAAAACAUGUUUACAUCUGCCUGGGAAUCUUCUAGUUGUUUUGCAGGUGAGGGUUUGGGUGCAUUACAUUCUCCCUUCACACACUCACAUAUUAUGCAUUUAUUGAGUGAGGCCCUAUACCCGGGUCUGAGUGUAGCUUAGAAAUAGAGGGGUUGUGUAGCGGUGCCACUUGGGAUAUUCUUCCUGUUUGGCUAUCGUGAGAACUCCAGCUAGAGUCUGUUCUCUUCACUUGUGUCUCCUCAUCUAGUUGAUUACUCGACUGUUGUGGAGAUGCUUUGAAGGGGGCCAUAGCUCUAGUGACCUUUGAUCCUUAGGCUU
rnacentral:lncRNA from 1 species